GCACAGGCGUGGCCGGGCCGCUGCGGCGGAGACGGACACGGGCGCGAGCAGGCGCAGCUUGGCCGCAGCGGCAGUGACCCCAGCAUGAGCAGGCGCAGCUAGGCGGCUUCAGCGUGGACCCACGCGGCCGCAGCCAGGCCCGUCGGCGUGGACGCGUGCGGCGCGGCCAGGCGUGGCCCGGCCACGGCGGCGGAGACACGCGAGGGCGCAGACAGGCCGCGGCGGUGCAGAUGGACAUGGGCGCGGACGCGGUGCGGCCACGGCGGCGGAGGCCCCGGCGGCCGUUUCGCGCGGGCCCCUGCAGUCAGGCGAGUGGGCAGUGGUUCAAUAGCUGUUCACACCAAGGAGAGAAAGUGGGAAUUGCCUCGCCUCUGGCUGCAGCACUGCUCGGCAAGGCUAGGAAGGUGUUCGGUGGUGGGUAGAGCCUCUGAAUAGGUCUGCAGAUGCUUGUUUUAGCCACUGG